rnacentral:tRNA from 1 species
GGGCCGGUAGUUCAGAUUGGUAUGCUAUCAAUCAAAACAAUGAUUCUAGGCCAAAGAACGUCCGGUUUGCAUCCGGAAGGUCGCGGGUUCAAAUCCCGCCCGGUCCACCA